CCCAGGAUGACAGAUAUUGACCGAAGAUACAUGUAGUAUACCGACCGAGGGCUCCAUAUUUAUUAUAUUAUAUAAAUGAUACUUUCCCAAAGUUAUUACUGCAAUGUAUUUUAUCCUAUUAUUUACAGAGAUAGUAUUAACCAUAAAUAAGUUGAAUGUAAAUGUUUCAGAAUUCAUUGAAUAUUACUCAGAGGAAAUUGUUUUGGCAAUAAAUUUCCCAUAUCAUGAUAAUGACGCAAGAUAUCUAUCUCCGAAUAACACAGAGUAACCCCUCCCCCAGAUAGAGAAUCGCUCUCGUUUACACUUGCAGACGAAAUGCACUGACAAAAUAUA